GCCGGAGUAGCUCAGGGGUAGAGCAAUUCUCUCGUAAAGAAUAGGUCGUCGGUUCAAAUCCGAUCUCCGGCUCAA
rnacentral:tRNA from 1 species